rnacentral:rRNA from 1 species
CCGGUUGAUCCUGCCGGAGGCUACUGCUAUUGGAAUUCGAUUAAGCCAUGCGAGUUUAAAGGACUUCGGUCCUUGGCAGACGGCUCAGUAACACGUGGAGAACCUGCCCUCAGGAGGGGGAUAACCCUGGGAAACUGGGAAUAAUACCCCAUAGGUCUAGAAUGCUGGAAUGCUUCUAGGCUCAAAGCUCCGGCGCCUGAGGAUGGCUCUGCGGCUUAUCAGGUUGUAGUGAGAGUAACGUCCUCACUAGCCUAUGACGGGUACGGGCCCUGAGAGGGGAUGCCCGGAGAUGGACUCUGAGACACGAGUCCAGGCCCUACGGGGCGCAGCAGGCGCGAAAACUCCGCAAUGCUCGAAAGAGUGACGGGGGGAUUCCAAGUGCCUACGCUUAGCGUAGGCUGUUCAGAUGCCUAAAAAGCAUCUGGAGUAAGGGCUGGGUAAGACGGGUGCCAUCUGUGGCAGCAGCCGAAGAUUUGGCUUGUUGCUGCAAGGCAUAAGCCGCCGCGGUAAUACCCGCAGCCCGAGUGGUAGUCGAUUUUAUUGGGCCUAAAGCGUCCGUAUCCGGUCUGAUAAAUGCCUGGGUAAAUCGUCUGGCUUAACCAGACGAAUUCCGGGUAGACUGUCAGACUUGGGACCGGUUGAGGAAGAGGGUACUUUAGGGGUAGGAGUGAAAUCCUGUAAUCCUUGAAGGACCACCAGUGGCGAAGGCGCUCUUCUAGGACGGGUCCGACGGUGAGGGACGAAAGCCAGGGGAGCAAACCGGAUUAGAUACCCGGGUAGUCCUGGCCGUAAACGAUGUGGGCUUUGCAUUGGGGGUUCUACGUGGGCGCCCAGUGCCGUAGCGAAGGCGUUAAGCCCACCGCCUGGGAAGUAUGGUCGCAAGGCUGAAACUUAAAGGAAUUGGCGGGGGAGCACAGCAACGGGAGGAGCGUGCGGUUUAAUUGGAUUCAACGCCGG